rnacentral:rRNA from 1 species
AUUGAACGCUGGCGGCAUGCCUUACACAUGCAAGUCGAACGGCAGCACGGGAGCAAUCCUGGUGGCGAGUGGCGAACGGGUGAGUAAUAUAUCGGAACGUGCCCGGUCGUGGGGAUAACGUAGCGAAAGCUACGCUAAUACCGCAUACGAUCUACGGAUGAAAGCGGGGGAUCGCAAGACCUCGCGCGAUUGGAGCGGCCGAUAUCAGAUUAGGUAGUUGGUGAGGUAAAGGCUCACCAAGCCGACGAUCUGUAGCUGGUCUGAGAGGACGACCAGCCACACUGGGACUGAGACACGGCCCAGACUCCUACGGGAGGCAGCAGUGGGGAAUUUUGGACAAUGGGCGCAAGCCUGAUCCAGCAAUGCCGCG